UACGAAGGGGGCUAGCGUUGUUCGGAAUUACUGGGCGUAAAGCGCACGUAGGCGGUGUUCCAUGUCAGAGGUGAAAGCCUGGGGCUCAACCCCAGAAUUGCCUUUGAAACGGGAACGCUUGAGUCCGAGAGAGGAUGGCGGAAUUCCUAGUGUAGAGGUGAAAUUCGUAGAUAUUAGGAAGAACACCGGUGGCGAAGGCGGCCAUCUGGCUCGGUACUGACGCUCAGGUGCGAAAGCGUGGGGAGCAAACAGG
rnacentral:rRNA from 1 species